GACGAACGCUGGCGGCGUGCUUAACACAUGCAAGUCGAACGGAAAGGCCCUGCUUUUGUGGGGUGCUCGAGUGGCGAACGGGUGAGUAACACGUGAGUAACCUGCCCUUGACUUUGGGAUAACUUCAGGAAACUGGGGCUAAUACCGGAUAGGAGCUCCUGCUGCAUGGUGGGGGUUGGAAAGUUUCGGCGGUUGGGGAUGGACUCGCGGCUUAUCAGCUUGUUGGUGGGGUAGUGGCUUACCAAGGCUUUGACGGGUAGCCGGCCUGAGAGGGUGACCGGCCACAUUGGGACUGAGAUGCGGCCCAGACUCCUACGGGAGGCAGCAGUGGGGAAUAUUGCACAAUGGGCGGAAGCCUGAUGCAGCAACGCCGCGUGCGGGAUGUCGGCCUUCGGGUUGUAAACCGCUUUCGCCUGUGACGAAGCGUGAGUGACGGUAAUGGGUAAAGAAGCACCGGCUAACUACGUG
rnacentral:rRNA from 1 species